CCACCCUUUAAUGUUUGAUGUUCUAACGUGGACCCGUGAUCCGGGUUGCGGACAGUGUCUGGUGGGUAGUUUGACUGGGGCGGUCUCCUCCUAAAGAGUAACGGAGGAGCACGAAGGUUGGCUAAUCCUGGUCGGACAUCAGGAGGUUAGUGCAAUGGCAUAAGCCAGCUUGACUGCGAGCGUGACGGCGCGAGCAGGUGCGAAAGCAGGUCAUAGUGAUCCGGUGGUUCUGAAUGGAAGGGCCAUCGCUCAACGGAUAAAAGGUACUCCGGGGAUAACAGGCUGAUACCGCCCAAGAGUUCAUAUCGACGGCGGUGUUUGGCACCUCGAUGUCGGCUCAUCACAUCCUGGGGCUGAAGUAGGUCCCAAGGGUAUGGCUGUUCGCCAUUUAAAGUGGUACGCGAGCUGGGUUUAGAACGUCGUGAGACAGUUCGGUCCCUAUCUGCCGUGGGCGCUGGAGAACUGAGGGGGGCUGCUCCUAGUACGAGAGGACCGGAGUGGACGCAUCACUGGUGUUCGGGUUGUCAUGCCAAUGGCACUGCCCGGUAGCUAAAUGCGGAAGAGAUAAGUGCUGAAAGCAUCUAAGCACGAAACUUGCCCCGAGAUGAGUUCUCCCUGAGACUUUAGGUCUCCUGAAGGAACGUUGAAGACGACGACGUUGAUAGGCCGGGUGUGUAAGCGCAGCGAUGCGUUGAGCUAACCGGUACUAAUGAACCGUGAGGCUUAACCUU
rnacentral:rRNA from 1 species